rnacentral:rRNA from 1 species
UACGUAGGGGGGCUAGCGUUGUCCGGAAUCAUUGGGCGUAAAGAGCGUGUAGGCGGCCCGGUAAGUCCGCUGUGAAAGUCGGGGGCUCAACCCUCGAAUGCCGGUGGAUACUGUCGGGCUAGAGUGCGGAAGAGGCGAGUGGAAUUCCUGGUGUAGCGGUGAAAUGCGCAGAUAUCAGGAGGAACACCGGUGGCGAAGGCGGCGACCUG